UACGUAGGGUCCGAGCGUUGUCCGGAAUUACUGGGCGUAAAGAGCUCGUAGGUGGUUUGUCGCGUUGUUCGUGAAAACUCACAGCUCAACUGUGGGCGUGCGGGCGAUACGGGCAGACUUGAGUACUGCAGGGGAGACUGGAAUUCCUGGUGUAGCGGUGGAAUGCGCAGAUAUCAGGAGGAACACCGGUGGCGAAGGCGGGUCUCUGGGCCUGUACUGACGCUGAGGAGCGAAAGCGUGGGGAGCGAACAGG
rnacentral:rRNA from 1 species